rnacentral:lncRNA from 1 species
UCUUUCCAUCCCUCCCUUCUUUGUUCCUCUUCUCUUUUAGUAUUUAAACAUACAAUGCCAUGUUCUAGGCACUGUGCCAAGGGUGGGGUCAAAAAAUCACUCAUCUUUACAUUUACAGUAUUUCUCAAGUUCAUCUUCUAUGCCUGGCAUUGUACCAAGGACCCUGGGCACUAAGGAUGCAGCAGGAAAUGCAGCAGACUUCAUUUCUGCUCUUACAGGGCUUACAUUUGAGUGUUUUCUCUUCAAGAACCUGGACGUUUAGUCUAGGUUGUGUCUUCCGUGAGAAAGGCUGGCGUUGGGUAAGGCUGGAGAGAAACAGAUCUGAAGCCAAUCCCUGAGCCUCCUGGGCCAUACACUGUCCCACUAUUUCAAAAGAAACUCAGUGACGAGAGGGCAGAGGGAGAAUAUGUCCAGCAUCUCAGCCUCAUUGUUUUCCACUUGGCAGCCCCCUCCAGUUCAGGGAUUCAUUUGAAGAAGCCCACAGGGACGGGUGACACUGAGGAAACAAAACCCAGGCCCCCCGGCCUCCGACUGAGCCGUGCAGAGCAUGCUGGGAGAUCACCUCCACCUGAGGAGCACAAAAGACCCCAGGAGUGGAGGAAGCUGGCCUGAGGCCAACUGGAUGUAGCAGACUUGCUGAGCCCAAGGAGGGAGGUCUGGUGAUGGAGCCUCGAGUACAUAUCCUUCCAAUCCUAAGGCAAUGCGAAAUCCACAGGACAGAAGAAACCUGGUUCUGGAAUCCCCUCUUG